rnacentral:rRNA from 1 species
AUUGAACGCUGGCGGCAUGCCUUACACAUGCAAGUCGAACGGCAGCGGACCUUCGGGUGCCGGCGAGUGGCGAACGGGUGAGUAAUAUAUCGGAACGUACCUUUCAGUGGGGGAUAACGUAGCGAAAGUUACGCUAAUACCGCAUAUUCUGUGAGCAGGAAAGCAGGGGAUCGCAAGACCUUGCGCUGAUUGAGCGGCCGAUAUCAGAUUAGCUAGUUGGUGAGGUAAAGGCUCACCAAGGCGACGAUCUGUAGCGGGUCUGAGAGGAUGAUCCGCCACACUGGAACUGAGACACGGUCCAGACUCCUACGGGAGGCAGCAGUGGGGGAAUUUUGGACAAUGGGCGCAAGCCUGAUCCAGCCAUGCCGCGUGAGUGAAGAAGGCCUUCGGUUGUAAAGCUCUUUCGGUCCGGGAAGAAAUCGCACAGGUUAAUACCCUCGUGUGGAGUGACGGUACCGGAAUAAGAAGACACCGGCGUAACUACGUGCCAGCA